AGAGUUUGAUCCUGGCUCAGGAUGAACGUGGGCGGCGUGCCUAACACAUGCAAGUCGAACGGAAAUAGCAAUAUUUGAGUGGCGCACGGGUGAGUAACACGUAGCUAAUCUACCUCAAAGCGCGGGAUAACGUGUCGAAAGACAGGCUAAUACCGCAUAAGCUCCCGGACUGUAGAGGCCUGGGAGAAAAGGCGUAAGUCACUUUGAGAUGAGGCUGCGGCCCAUCAGCUAGUUGGUGCGGUAACGGCGUACCAAGGCGACGACGGGUAGGGGACCUGAGAGGGUGACCCCCCACACUGGGACUGAGACACGGCCCAGACUCCUACGGGAGGCAGCAGUGAGGAAUAUUGCACAAUGGGCGAAAGCCUGAUGCAGCGACGCCGCGUGGGUGAAGAAGGUUUUCGGAUCGUAAAACCCUUUUCUGUGUGACGAGAACGGACGGUAGCACAGGAAUAAGUCUCGGCUAACUACGUGCCAGCAGCCGCGGUAAAACGUAGGAGACAAACGUUAUCCGGAGUUACUGGGCGUAAAGGGCGUGUAGGUGGUUGUGUAAGUUCGGCGUGAAAUCUCUCGGCUUAACCGGGAGUGGUCGUCGGAUACUGCACGACUAGAGGACGGUAGAGGCGUGUGGAAUUCCGGGUGUAGUGGUGAAAUGCGUAGAGAUCCGGAGGAACACCAGUGGCGAAGGCGACACGCUGGGCCGUACCUGACACUGAGGCGCGAUAGCAUGGGGAGCAAACAGGAUUAGAAACCCUGGUAGUCCAUGCCGUAAACGAUGCUAGCUGGGUGUUCAGGGGGGGAAACCCCUCGGGGUACCGAAGUCAACACGGUAAGCUAGCCGCCUGGGGAGUACGGUCGCAAGAUUAAAACUCAAAGGAAUUGACGG
rnacentral:rRNA from 1 species